UUGGCUGUUCGCCAAUUAAAGCGGCACGCGAGCUGGGUUCAGACCGACGUGAGUCAGGUCGGUCCCUACCUUCCGUGGGUGUAGGAGAUUUGAGGAGUUCUCUCCCUAGUACGAGAGGAUUGGGAGGGACAGACCUCUGGUGUUCCUGUUGUCGCGCCAGCGGCAGCGCAGGGUAGCUAUGUCUGGUUCGGAUAAGCGCUGAAGGCAUAUAAGCGCGAAGCCAGUUCCAAAACGAGAUCUCCCUGGACUUCGGUCCCUAAAGGGUCGUCGGAGACUACGACGUUGAUAGGCUGGAGGUGUAAGCACGGUGACGUGUUCAGCUGACCAGUACUAAUAGCCCGUGAGGCUUAGGCUC
rnacentral:rRNA from 1 species